rnacentral:rRNA from 1 species
CAGCAGCCGCGGUAAUACGUAGGGUGCAAGCGUUAAUCGGAAUUACUUGGCGUAAAGCGUGCGCAGGCGGUUUGUUAAGACGGAUGUGAAAUCCCCGGGCUCAACCUGGGAACUGCAUUCGUGACUGGCAAGCUAGAGUAUGGCAGAGGGGGGUGGAAUUUCACGUGUAGCAGUGAAAUGCGUAGAGAUGUGGAGGAACACCGAUGGCGAAGGCAGCCCCCUGGGCCAAUACUGACGCUCAUGCACGAAAGCGUGGGGAGCAAACAGGAUUAGAUACCCCUGUAGUCCCUGUCUCUUAUAC